rnacentral:lncRNA from 1 species
AUCUCUAUGGCUGUCAGAGGUGGGCGGCUUUGACCGAGAGGCUGCUGGAGCUCGUGUUUGGACGCAGAACUUGGGGCCGGGCGCGGUGGCUCACGCUUGUAAUCCCAGCACUUUGGGAGGCUGAGGCCGGCAGAUCACGAGGUCAGGAGAUCGAGACCAUCCUGGCUAACAUGGUGAAACCCCGUUUCUACUAAAAAAACAAACAUACAAAAAAUUAGCCGAGUGUGGUGGCAGGCGCCUGUAGUCCCAGCUACUCCGGGGAGGCUGAGGCAGGAGAAUGGCGUGAACCUGGGAGGCAGAGCUUGCAGUGAGCUGAGAUCGUGCCACUGCACUCCAGCCUGGGCGACAGAGCAAGAUUCUGGCUCAAUAAAUAAAUAAAUAAAUAAGAGAACUUGGUUUCCUUUUGCAAUAUAAAAAAUUGUAUUUACAGUUUAUGUGUUGAUUUUUUUCUAUUUUUAAUGCCUAUUAUAAUCACUUAAAGAACUUGAAAAAAUUUACACUCUUCCAGUGUGUGUAUCUGUACUGUUAUUACAUGUUUAGUACCCCUGCUCUGGAAUAUUCAGGUUUUAUAACUUUAAAUAUAUUAUGUAUUAGCCAGCUUGUUAAAAUAAAUUCUUGAUAUUUUUAUUGCUUUGGGUGAACUUGAUUAGUAACUG